GUGAAUCAUCGAAUUUUUGAACGCAAAUUGCACUCCCUGGUAUUCCGGGGAGUAUGCCUGUUUGAGGGUCGUUAGAAUAAAAAAUCGAUGCGUCGCUCUUUUUUUUGUGAGUGGUCGCGUGGGAAUUUAUCCGUCUUUCAAAUGUUAAUUCAUGUCAACGUGGCUUGAAAUUCAUGCAUCCGUUAAGUUGGAAACGUAUUUGAGAUCAAUUUUGAUGGAGA
rnacentral:misc_RNA from 1 species